rnacentral:lncRNA from 1 species
GUGUGUCGGUGCCAAAAGAGAGAGCGAGGAUAGCAAGGGAGUGGGCUGUGGUAACGGCGAGGUUGACGGAAGUGAUGAGAAAUCUCGGCUGUUCGACGAAAUGCCUAAAAGAGGUUCUCCAUUAGUGCUGAUUGGAUUGGAGUUUGCUUCCCGGGGGGGUGGGCUUUUAGGCUUGGACUAGUUGGGUUGGGCUGUCCUAUUUUGUUGGGCUCCCCUCCUUCCCUCUCUCUCCCGCUACCCCCCUCCUUUGCACUUAUUUCGUCUCUAAUAAAAUCUAUGGCACUGUAUUGUUCAAAAAAAAUAAUGUUGGAGGUUAAAUUGUAAAAAACAUUUUUUUUCUCAUCCCAAAUGGCAGAUGGCAUGUAUCUCAAUUUAAAUACUUUAUUUUGUAUUUAGUAUACUAGUAUAAUAAAAACCAUUUAUUUUGUAUCCGCAAUCUGCAUAAAUUAGAAAUUAUCAAAAUACAUAAUUUCGAUUUCUAGAUAUUUUAACAUUAUAAAUAAUGAUCAAUAAUAUAAAUCUUCAAUUUGAAUGUCUUAUUGUUGAUUUUGAAAUUUAAAAAGGCAUAUACCUUCUUUUCUUUAAAGGAGUAAAAUCUGUUCUUACAUACCUUGUUUAAUAUGAGAUUGGGCUGGUAUUUGGAAAUCUUGACAGACUGCAAAUAUUUCAAGAACAU